rnacentral:rRNA from 1 species
UACGUAGGGGGCAAGCGUUGUUCGGAAUGACUGGGCGUAAAGGGUGUGUAGGUGGUUUGAUAAGUUAGAUGUGUAAUACCCAGGGCUUAACUCGGGUGCUGCAUCUAAAACUGUUAGACUUGAGUACUGGAGAGGAUAGUGGAAUUCCUAGUGUAGCGGUGGAAUGCGUAGAUAUAUGGAAGAACACCAGUGGCGAAGGCGGCUCUCUGGUCUGCAACUGACGCUGAGGCUCGAAAGCAUGGGUAGCGAACAGG